ensembl:lncRNA
CAUGUAUGUAUUCAUUGAAACAAUAUUAAAUAAAGCGGUAUUCCUUGUUUCUAAGCCAAUGAAUAUUUUAUUCACUUUAUGUGGCUGAGCAGAGACCUAAGUGCAGGCAACGAAGAUACAACAGGCAAGUUGAUAUUUACAAUGACUCAUUUACAACGAUUCACAGAAACAGUAAUGCAGAAUCAGGCACAGGAUUCAGUAAACAAGGGGGACCUCUAGGGGUAAACAGAAUUACUAAGGCCAAACUGCUAGUAAAAACAUGAAUUCUACUAACCUACACCAGGUAUGACUAGGGACAGGAAAGCUAGUCAAGGAAUAACUCUGAAGCUAAAGACAGGACUGGAAGCCAAAACGGCUAAACUAGACAGAGAUCAAAUGCUCGGAAAAUACUUCCUAAAUACAAAAUGGGUGGCAGAGUAAACGCCGAGAACGCAAACCUAAACAGAUGGCUAAGCUACAAAAACAGACUAAACCCAGAGUUACGCUAAACAAACUGACUGAACUGGAUGCAGCGGUCAAGCCGGGAACUUAAAUGAGGACUGACAGAAAACAGAGUGGGGAAGGCAGGCAGAGGUGGCAUGUGGCAGGAAUGGCGACAGGUGCAGAUAGCCAGGGAGUAGUGAAAGUCUUGAUGAUCCAGAUGACACAAAUGGGAACAGACAGACGGAGGUUCCGGAGGGUGGUGGAAAGCAGGUGGAGGUCCAAACUGCAGAACAGAGGAAGCAAUCGGUUAACGAGAGCCAGGUUUCUGGAGCUAGACAGAACAAUGAUCCGAUUACUAACUGAGGUCGUUCGACAGUCCGGCGAAGUGUAGUAGUUGGCAUCUGGUUAUGUACUGAGUUUAUGGCUAUCCCAGCCUGCUCCACUUGCCAGACCAACCUGCCAGCUGCAUGGAUCACCAUUCUCAUGCCAUUCACCUUGGCUCUGUUGGAUCACCAUGCUGAAACCCACAUCAGGCCAGCCAGCGUCAUUCCAGCUGCAACGCUGCAUCUGCCACUCCACUUGCCACACUCCGUAUACAUUCCCUCAGCCUCUCUUGCCUCUUCUGCUUUCCUGGCUUGGUGCUACGAAAUUUGGGUUGGCUUUUCUAAAUGGUUAAUCUUGCAAGUCUGAUUGUGUAGUUUAGUUUAUAUUCCUGAGUGUUUAUGGUAAUUCUUGUAUCUUGUAAUUCACCCUCCCACCAGUAGUCGUCUCUCUCGAGUGUAGUCUGUCCCUAUCUGCCCUCUAGCAGUUGUCACUUCCCCUAGCCUUGUUGUCAUUUCCUUGUGUAUAUUCUGUAAACAGUGUUGUAAAUAAAUUGCAUUUAUUUGUCUGCUGUGUUCUGUCG